AUUUGGGCUACACACGUGCUACAAUGGACAAUACAAAGGGCAGCGAAACCGCGAGGUCAAGCAAAUCCCAUAAAGUUGUUCUCAGUUCGGAUUGUAGUCUGCAACUCGACUACAUGAAGCUGGAAUCGCUAGUAAUCGUAGAUCAGCAUGCUACGGUGAAUACGUUCCCGGGUCUUGUACACACCGCCCGUCACACCACGAGAGUUUGUAACACCCGAAGCCGGUGGAGUAACCUUUUAGGAGCUAGCCGUCGAAGGUGGGACAAAUGAUUGGGGUGAAGUCGUAACAAGGUAGCCGUAUCGGAAGGUGCGGCUGGAUCACCUCCUUU
rnacentral:rRNA from 1 species